GAUGAAGAACGUAGCAAAAUGCGAUAAGUAAUGUGAAUUGCAGAAUUCAGUGAAUCAUCGAAUCUUUGAACGCACAUUGCGCCCGCUGGUAUUCCGGCGGGCAUGCCUGUUCGAGCGUCAUUUCAACCCUCAAGCCCCCGGGUUUGGUGUUGGGGAUCGGCUCUGCCCUUCUGGGCGGUGCCGCCCCCGAAAUACAUUGGCGGUCUCGCUGCAGCCUCCAUUGCGUAGUAGCUAACACCUCGCAACUGGAACGCGGCGCGGCCAUGCCGUAAAGCCCCAACUUCUGAAUGUUGACCGCGGAUCAGGUAGGAAUACCCGCUGAACUUAAGCAUAUCAAUAAGCGGAGGA
rnacentral:misc_RNA from 1 species